rnacentral:rRNA from 1 species
UCACCUGGAUGAAGCAGGAAUUGCUAGUAAUUGCCGGUCAGCCAUACGGCGGUGAAUCCGUUCCCGAGCCUUGUACACACCGCCCGUCACACUAUAGGAGCUGGCCAUGUUUGAAGUAAUUACCCUUAACCGUAAGGAGGGGAUUUCCAGAGGAGUUGCAAACGGAUCUGCCGGUUCACCAAUCAUUCGUCGAUAUUGAAGUUCCGCAAGUUGUGCUUCCCGAUACUGUAUUUGAAGCAGUUCUUCGAAUUCCUUAUGAUAUGCAAUUGAAACAAGUUCUUGCAGACGAAGCCAAAGCUUAUGGACUUGUCGAUAUUGCAAGGAGUAGUACAGGAAUAUUGACCUGUUGUCCAU